GCAGGCUGCAACUCGCCUGUAUGAAGUUGGAAUUGCUAGUAAUCGCGGAUCAGCAUGCCGCGGUGAAUACGUUCCCGGGCCUUGUACACACCGCCCGUCACACCAUGAGAGCCGGUAAUACCCGAAGUCAGUAUCCUAACCGCAAGGAGGGAGCUGCCGAAGGUAGGAUUGGCGAUUGGGGUGAAGUCGUAACAAGGUACC
rnacentral:rRNA from 1 species